GGAAGGGGUGUAUUUAUUAGAUAAAAAACCAAUGCGGGCAACCGCUUUUCUGGUGAUUCAUAAUAACUUUUCGAAUCGCAUGGCCUUGUGCUAGCGAUGUUUCAUUCAAAUUUCUGCCCUAUCAACUAUGCAUGCUAGGAUAGAGGCCUACCAUGCUAAUAACGGGUAACGGCGAAUUAGGGUGCGAUUCCGGAGAGCGAGCCUGAGAAACGGCUACCACAUCCAAGGAAGGCAGCAGGCGCGCAAAUUACCCAAUCCCGAUACGGGGAGGUAGUGACAAUAAAUAACAUUACAGGGCUUUAUAGUCUUGUAUUAGGAAUGAGUACAAUUUAAAUCUCUUAACGAGGAACAAUAGGAGGGCAAGUCUGGUGCCAGCAGCCGCGGUAAUUCCAGCUCCAAUACGCUAUAUUAAAGUUGUUGCAGUUAAUAAGCUCCUAGUUGAAUUUUAGGCCUGGUUGGACGGUCUGCUCUAGGGUUUGUACUGUCCUGACUGGGUCUUACCUUCUGGUGAGCUGUCGUAUUGUUUACUCAGUGCGGCAGGGAACCAGGACUUUUAC
rnacentral:rRNA from 1 species